rnacentral:siRNA from 1 species
UUGGGGUAAAAGUGCAUUCGGGU